rnacentral:lncRNA from 1 species
CCUGGAAGAUCAACAAGGCACAAUUCCCCCUGAUCCAGGAUGCCUGAAGAGCAGAAGGAUGGGCAACCUCAGAUGACCGUGUCUGGAGGGAAGAGAAAAUGAGGAAGGGGCCACAACUGAACAGACAGUGCCUUCAGGAAAGAGAAGCUGCUUGGGAAACUCUGCAGUCCUUUUAGGAAGAAAAUUCCCUAGUGUAAAAGGAAGUGGACUGGUGGUGCUGGUGUUGGAGGAAUGUUGGUGAGCUACUGGAAAGGAGAGAGCGUGGGUUUGGAGCAUGGGGAAAACGUGAGAACGUUUGUGAAACUCCUGAGAGAGAGUAUGAGUUGGUUGUUAUGUGGUGCUCUGAGCCUGUGUGGAUCCUAGAGGGAAGUGCUGAUGGUUUCUUGGACCUCUCCAUCCAAAUCCACCAGCCUGCAGAUCAGAACUGGGCUGGAAGGCUUUGUGCUGCUGACACAAAGCGUGUUGGAGCCAGGAUGACAAUGCUGGAGGAGUUAAACCCAUAUCUGUCCCCGUGGACUCACCAUUGUGCAGGCAGCCAGCUGAAGGCACCCUUGACCUGAGCUGAGGGACUUAACACGUUGAAGGUGAAUCAUCUGUUUCAUUAAAUCAGAGGCCACUUCAAGGACUGCAGCCCAAUUAUGCCACAUGUCGUACAUAGCCUGAGAAGAAUAUUGGUUGCAGAAUAGGAUCCAUAUGAGCAGGUCCUUACAGGGGAGCACGUCCUGCUGAAGAACGGCCUUGAGUAUCUGCCUGCAAGGAUCAGCUUAACAGGCCUGAACUCUUAAUUUAUAGCGUUAAGCAGCUCUGAAGAAGAGGAAACAAUCUGUAGGAGGUUCAGCAUGAAGUGGACAGCACAGUGACAUGUGUUUCCCCUCCAAGGAGCAAGGCUCUCUGCCUUUGCUUUGGUGUAAGGCUGUGUGCUCCAGGAAUAAGCAAGAAUAUCAAGGUCUGGCCUGGAUUCCUCCCUUGAGGAAAGAGACAGAUGAUAUCAUUGCUGGAGUUGUUUGGACAUCACAAAGGCAGGACAAAAGAACGAGAGCCCAAAUGCAGCCAGGCAGCUGAGAGCACGCUGCUGCUCCUGCAAAGCUCUUCAAGGAAAAAUGCUGACACAGCCGUUUCUGGCACUAUUUGCUGCUGCAGGGAAUACUUAAGCAAUUAUCAGAAAGGAAGCCCUGCACGGGAUAGGUGGGACUUUGAGAAACAACUGUGUGAUAUAUACGUUCUGGGACUGGCAAGUGUGGUCAGCGUAUCUCUGAACUCACAUGACAGCACUUUCAAUCUGAGUUUAAAACCUCAGGAAGAGAAGGUGGAAACCAGAGCUUGGGCUGGUCCCUGGGACUGA